CUUGAUUCCUGUACAUCUAGAGAUUCUAAAAUGUUCUUUCCACAGGCUUUCUGCACUGAUGAGCACAUGAGCUGGGAAAGGAAAGGCAAGGCGAGAGGCAGAAAAGAUAUUCUCAAUUUUGUUAACUCCAAUCAAAAAAAGAAAGCGCUCCAGUAUAUCAGUUGAGGGUCUCCAAGAAAGGAGCUGAUGUACACAUCUAGCACUCUGACUUCUGUGUCUGAC